rnacentral:snRNA from 1 species
UUGCCCACUUUGGCAGCACAUAUACUAAAAUUGGAAUGAUACAGAGAAGACUAGCAUGGCCCCUGCACAAGGAUGACAUGCAAAUUCAUGAAGCAUUCCAUAUUUUA